AAAUCUUUUCUCGGCAGAUAAUGUAAGAUUAUGUACUUCUUGCCAAAAUUGUUAUCGAGACGUGUGGUCGAGCUGAUGGCAAGAACCGUAAUGACCACACGUCAAUAUAACAAUUUUGGCAAGAGGUGCAUACACUUUUUUAUC